rnacentral:rRNA from 1 species
UACGGGGGGAGCAAGCGUUGUUCGGAUUUACUGGGCGUAAAGGGCGCGUAGGCGGUCAGCACAAGUCAGUUUUGAAAUCUCCGGGCUUAACUCGGAAAGGUCAACUGAUACUGUGCGACUAGAGUGCAGAAGGGGCAACUGGAAUUCUCGGUGUAGCGGUGAAAUGCGUAGAUAUCGAGAGGAACACCUGCGGCGAAGGCGGGUUGCUGGGCUGACACUGACGCUGAUGCGCGAAAGCCAGGGGAGCGAACGGG